GCAUCUAUGGCCGAGUGGUUGAAGGCAAUGGACUCAUAAUCCAUUUUCGUUAUAGAACAUCACUGGUUCGAACCCAGUUAGAUGCA
rnacentral:tRNA from 1 species